AUGCUAGGUUGGUUUAUUGGAGAUUAUGAUAAAGAACGCAAAGGAGUGUUUGUGGUUUUGAAGUCAUUGGUUGAUGUUGGAGGUGGAACAGGAAACUUGUGGCUAAAAUUUAGCUUAAUGACAUUUCCUCACUUGGGAUUGCUUUUCUUCGAAUCUCCCUCAUGUUCGUUGCUGGUUCUCAUAUAUGGACUCAUUCUCUGCCAAUUCAUAAAGUCCAUGUCUCUAAAAUGUUGCAGUUGAACUAGGCAUACCUGAUGCUAUAGCAACCAACCAUUGGCCAACCCAUGCCUCUUUUCUUGACCUAGUUUUCUGCUUUAAACAGGUUUAACCCUUUGCUUAAAAACUCACCAUCUUCACCGUCUAAUGCUAAUUUCUUGUUCUAUUCUGGUUCUUUUCUUUAAAAGGAAGAUGGCUAUUUAACUUACUGCUAUCCUCAUCGUCUUCUUCUAAAAGACCACUUUCCUUUAAUUCAAGACCUUUUAUAUCUCUUGUUCUUGAUCCUAUUCUAACAGAACCGUAUAAUUGCAAUGAGCAAAUGGCUUAAAAGAUGAUCAUGAUUCAAAAACACCGUUCGUAACUGCAUUUGCGAGGUCGCUAUGGGAACAUGCAGGGCAUGAAAUUAGGGUUUAAUAACUUGUUUAAAGAAGCAAUGGCUUAGUGAUAGUUUUUAAUUAGUGAGCGGUGAUAGUCAAGUGUAAGGAGGUAUUGAAGGGGUUGGAUUCUUUGGUUGAUGUUGCAGGUGGAACUGGAAAUAUGGCCAAGGCUAUCGCUAAUUUACUUUUCCAAAUUUGAAGUGUUUACUGUUUGGUUUUUUUAGAUCUUCCCCAUGUUGUUGCUGGUUUUACAGGGGCAUAAGAAUUUUGAAUUUUCUUGCUGGGACAUGUUUUGAGGCUGUUCCUCCUGCUGACUGCAGUUUUUUGCUCAAGAUACAAUUAAGAAUUGCAAAGAACAAUUACAAGGAAAUUGGCGAGCAAAGAGAAUUAGAGAAGAAGAGAAGGUUAUCAUCAUUUGGACAUGGUGAUGGGAAACCAAACUUGGGAUAA